rnacentral:rRNA from 1 species
UACGGAGGGUGCGAGCGUUGUCCGGAAUCACUGGGCGUAAAGGGCGCGUAGGCGGCAGGCCAAGCGUGCGGUGAAAGUCCGGGGCUCAACCCCGGAUCGGCCGUGCGGACUGGUUUGCUGGAGCACUGUAGAGGCGAGUGGAAUUCCGGGUGUAGCGGUGGAAUGCGUAGAGAUCCGGAAGAACACCGGUGGCGAAGGCGGCUCGCUGGGCAGUGGCUGACGCUGAGGCGCGACAGCGUGGGGAGCAAAC